AUCAUCGUCCCUACCUUUUUGAAGUUGAGAUGGAAUUAGAAACCACAAGCUUAGGAGUUUUAUUGGAAUUAUAGAUUGCCGCCUAAAAAAUGAAGGGAAUAAAUUAGUCUUUUUAUUUACACAAUCAUUCAUUUCAUCGACAGUGCACAGAUCAAAGAAGAGUAGAGCACAGACCAAAGAAGAAGAACAACAUAAGGUGUUAAGCAUCCAUCAUGGAGUGGUGUACCCAGCGAGGUGUUCUAUCGCUGUUACCCCUCAUCACAGCUACCUUCCUCCUUGAGCCCAAGAGCAGAUGCUUCACCCCUCUUGGCUCCAUGUGGCAGGGAUUAGGCAUCCACUAUGGAGUGGCGUACUUAAGAGAGGAUCCCUGAUUUCCAGUGAAUCAUUAUAUUUAUUAAAUUUAUCUCAUCAGUGAAUCAUUUAUUACAUUUAUUCAAUUCAUCUCAUUAUGACAAUCAAUUACUGCUGACAUAAUCAUUACAUUAUAUUGCACUACAUUAAUGCCUUGUGUUGGGUUAUCA